rnacentral:rRNA from 1 species
ACUAGUGAUUGAAGUCGUAACAAGGUUUCCGUUAGCAUUUACCAGCGGAUAAAAGUCAGUAUGAAAGUACUUGGCUAGUCGGUAUCAGCUCGAUACGUGAGAGCUGAUAGUUGGCAACACUGUCGAAUUGCGGGAAGUUUCUUAAACUCAAAGCUACCAACCUGAUGUGGAAACACAUUCAGGGGCCGGGGUAAUGACCUAGGGUAUGGUAAAAACGCUUUGAGAUUGAAUAAUCCGCAGCCAAGCUCCUAAGUGCUGUAAGCAUAUGGAGAAGGUCCAGAGACUAAGUGGCAGUGGGCUGUUGUUGCAAAUGAGAGCAACUCCAGCUUAAGAUAGAGUCCGGCCCUACCGAGAGGUAGCCUUGGGAUGAAAGGCUUAACCAGCCCAGAGCUCAAGGAGCUGAUUCAAACAUUGCGUAUUGAAUUAGCUGGACCAACCGAGGUGAACCUGCGGAAGGAUCAUUGAAUUAUCAAAACCGCAAUGUGAACCUGUCUGUCCCACGCUUCCAUGCAGCGCGGUGCUUAGCACUGGCGGGCUUUGGGAUUGCUCCUGCAAGGGGGCUUUCCUGGGGUUAUCUGCGCGGUUGCGUGUUUUUUUUCACACCCAGUGUAACCACUGAGUUGUGCCAAUUUACUUUGGUGCAGCCAAACGAACCUCUGAAGAAAGGCAGUCAUACACUGACAGCCAUAAACGAAAACAACUCUCAACAACGGAUAUCUUGGCUCUCGCAACGAUGAAGAACGCAGCGAAAUGCGAUACGUAGUGUGAAUUGCAGAAUUCCGUGAACCAUCGAAUCUUUGAACGCAUAUUGCGCUCGAGCCUUCGGGCGAGAGCAUGCCUGCCUCAGCGUCGGUUUACACCCUCACAGCUCUAUCCAUGCGGUAGCGCCAAGCCUUCGGGUUUGCAGCUGUGGAUCUGGCUUUCUCAACCAACCUUGUUGUUGGCUUGGGUUGGCUGAAGUGCAGAGGCUUGAGCAAGGACCCGUUAUGGGCAUCAACUGGAUAGGUAGUGCCAACCCCUGUGGUUGUCUACACGAAGUUGUUGCUCGUGGACCUUGCUGGGGGCCAGCAGGAUACACGCUUUAUUGCGUGACCUAAACCUUCGACCUGAGCUCAGGCAAGACUACGGACUGAACUUAAGCAUAUCAAUAAGUCCAGGAAAAGAAACUAACCAGGA